UACGUAGGGGGCAAGCGUUGUCCGGAUUCAUUGGGCGUAAAGAGCUCGUAGGCGGUUCGGUAAGUCGGGUGUGAAAUCUCCGGGCUCAACACGGAGCGGCCACCUGAUACUGCCGUGACACGAGUCCGGUAGGGGAGUGUGGAAUUCCCGGUGUAGCGGUGAAAUGCGCAGAUAUCGGGAGGAACACCCGUGGCGAAGGCGGCACUCUGGGACGGUACUGACGCUGAGACGCGAAAGCGUGGGGAGCGAACAGG
rnacentral:rRNA from 1 species